rnacentral:rRNA from 1 species
CCUACGGGGGGCUGCAGUGGGGAAUAUUGGACAAUGGGGGGAACCCUGAUCCAGCCAUGCCGCGUGUGUGAAGAAGGCCCUCGGGUUGUAAAGCACUUUCAGUGAGGAAGAACGCCUGGUGGUUAAUACCCAUCAGGAAAGACAUCACUCACAGAAGAAGCACCGGCUAACUCCGUGCCAGCAGCCGCGGUAGUACGGAGGGUGCGAGCGUUAAUCGGAAUUACUGGGCGUAAAGCGCGCGUAGGUGGCUUGAUAAGCCGGUUGUGAAAGCCCCGGGCUCAACCUGGGAACGGCAUCCGGAACUGUCAAGCUAGAGUGCAGGAGAGGAAGGUAGAAUUCCCGGUGUAGCGGUGAAAUGCGUAGAGAUCGGGAGGAAUACCAGUGGCGAAGGCGGCCUUCUGGACUGACACUGACACUGAGGUGCGAAAGCGUGGGUAGCAAACAGGAUUAGAUACCCGGGUAGUC